GAAGCCUUUCCACCUUUUGUAGCCAAACCCGAGACCGGAUCCCCAAAGCCCUGCCCCCUGCCCGCCUCCCAACAGACGGCUGGACCGCCAGGACCGCUUCCUGCUUGGGAUGGAGAUGGAAGCCGGGCCUCCAAGUCCUCUACCCACUUCCUCGUCGGCUCUGCUAUCCCUGCGGUCCCAGUACCCAAGCUGGGGGACCUAAAUACUUUCGAGACGCCCGAGUCCUACUCCGACGUGGCUGGGCUUCCUCAUUCUUUCGAGAAGACCGGGAAUUUGGGCUUUCGGGCUGGCCGGGAGAACAGAUUUCACAGAGGGGCUGGGGGGUGACAAGCUCUCUAACUGGAGAAGGAACAUCUCACACUUUUACCGGUUUGACACCCAGUUGGAAUGAUUUUAUUAGUGCCCAUUUCCCGUGCUAGGCUGGGAUCUCCAGCAAGACAAAGAGGUAUCCGGGAACCUGCGACUCGCUUGGCACUUAAUAGAUGAUCUAUAAAUACUUGUUGAAUGAGUAAAUGAAUCAAUCAGGGCUCCCCAGGUCCGGAUUGUGACCUUAACCCGAAAGAGCAAGGUCACGUGCGCCCUUGACUCCCAGUAGCCGGGCCGUGUCUUUACCUGAGAUCCUGGAGAGCAGCACCAAAGCACAGGGCGCCUUGUGGUUCCCAGCCUAGCGUCAUGACGCCCCCAACCGUUUCGAGGUUGCCUCGGGCUCCAGAGAUGUCCCUUUCCCACUCCCCCUGGGGUGCAUAGCAGGGGUCUCUCCGUACCCCUACCGGCAGGAUUGCGUGUUACCCAGAGACAGCGGAGGGGGGAGCUGGUGCCUUCCUCCUCGCCAUCCUCGAGGGCAGGACCGUAUGAACCCCUCAGAACCCCAGUGGAAGAAUUGUGACUCCAGAUCCCAAAGAGCAAGUCCCGUCUCCUACAACCCCCGAAAGGCCGACCUCACUCCGCCGCCCACCUACUACCAGCACCACCAGACCUCGAGGCGGCACCGCGGACCUCUCCGGCUCUCAAAAGGCAGAUUCCGACUUCCCAACCUCCCCCUGCCUCCCCGCCCCGCCGAGACCGCCAGGGUGGAGGUGGACGCCCCCGCCUCCGCAUUUCUGCGCGGGGCUCCAGAUUGCAGGGCAGGGCGGCGCUUCUCGGAAAGCGAAAGCCCGCGGGGCGGGGCGGGAGCCGUAGGAGAAAGAGGAAGCGCUGGCAGACAACGCGACCCGUCCGCGCCGAGGCUCCUGGACAGCCCGCCAUGGCUGCAGAAGGUCCCCGCGCGGAGUCUGUGGCCCCCGUCUCCUCCAUAUCCUCCCUGCCCCUGGCUGCUCUCAACAUGCGAGUGCGGCGCCGCCUGUCGCUGUUCUUGAACGUGCGGACGCAGGUGGCGGCCGACUGGACGGUGCUGGCGGAGGAGAUGGAUUUUGAGUACUUGGAGAUCCGGCAGCUGGAGUCGCAAGCCGACCCCACGGGCAGGCUGCUGGACGCCUGGCAGGGACGCCCCGGUGCCUCGGUAGGCCGGCUGCUGGAGCUGCUCGCCAAGCUGGGCCGCGACGACGUGCUGCUGGAGCUGGGACCCAGCAUUGAGGAGGAUUGCCAAAAGUAUAUCUUGAAGCAGCAGCAGGAGGAGGCUGAGAAGCCCUUACAGGUGGCCUCUGUCGACAGCAGUGUCCCACGGACAACAGAGCUGGCGGGCAUCACCACACUUGACGACCCCCUGGGGCAAAUGCCAGAGCGUUUCGAUGCCUUCAUCUGCUAUUGCCCCAGUGACAUCCAGUUUGUGCAGGAGAUGAUCCGGCAACUGGAACAGACAAACUAUCGACUGAAGUUAUGUGUGUCUGACCGCGAUGUCCUGCCUGGCACCUGUGUCUGGUCUAUUGCUAGUGAGCUCAUCGAGAAGAGGUGCCGCCGGAUGGUGGUGGUUGUCUCUGAUGAUUACCUGCAGAGCAAGGAAUGUGACUUCCAGACCAAAUUUGCACUCAGCCUCUCUCCAGGUGCCCACCAGAAGCGACUGAUCCCCAUCAAGUACAAGGCAAUGAACAAAGAGUUCCCCAGCAUCCUGAGGUUCAUCACUGUCUGUGACUAUACCAAUCCCUGCACCAAAUCUUGGUUCUGGACUCGCCUUGCCAAGGCCCUGUCCCUGCCCUGAUGACUGCUCUGGGACUCUGGGUGUGUGUGUAUCUGUCUGCCUGUCCAUGCACUUCUGCCCUGCCUCCUCGGUUGUAGGAGGAAUCUGUGCUCUACUUGCCUCUCAAUUCCUGGAGAUGCCAACUCCACAGACACAUCUGCCACAGCUGGACAUCAUCUGGACAUCACAUCUUAUGUCCUUCAUGGAACCAGUGGCUGUGAGGGGCUUGUCCACUGGCUGGCUUACCAGCCAGGACGGUAUAGAACAGAACCAGCUGGGACUAGCAGAGCCAGCUCUGAGCUAUUCAUAUACCUUCAGUCUUAGUUUCCCCACCUGAACAGUAAGAGGUGGGCUNAGAACAGACAGUAGCUGUGUUUGAAUCCCUGUAGGAAAUGGUGAAGCAUAGCUCUGGAUCUCCUGGGGGUGACCAAUCUUGGCUGAGGGAGAGCUGGCUGCUGCUAGACUACCUGCUGGCCACUGCUGGGACCAUGACACUGCCAGGGCAGCUGCUUCCACAAUGAUGCCUACUGAUGCUUCAGUGCCUCUUUGCUCGCCUCCUGUUCCACUUCCUCCUUCCUCACAGGGCAGGUGGGGAAGCAGGUUGGCCCAGCACAAAGGGAUCCGACCUUGAAGCUUAUUUCCUAAUGAGUCUACCUCUUAUCUGCAUCUUUGACACGUCCCAGCUUCUGCCCAACUUUGAGCAGUGGCAAGUCCUCGAGAGACUGGCCUGAGCAGCCCAAGCUGCUUUUCAUUUCUACCUGGCAAGAUGCCUGUGGUCAUGCCCUCAGCUACACCUGGCAUGAGAAGGGAUCCUGGCCUCUGGCAUAUCCAUCAAGUAUGAGUUCUGGGGAUGAGUCACUGUAAUGAUGUGAGCAGGGAGCCUUCCCCACUGCACCACCCACAGAGAGCUUUCCCACCAACUUCGUACCUUGAUUGCCUUACAAAGUUGUUUGUUUACAAACAGCGAUCAUAGAAAACCGCCUGUCCCAAAGCUUGUGGGUACAUGGGCACAUACAAACUCACACACCGACACACACAUGUAUGUACAGAUACAUACUCUCACACACACAGGCACCGGCACAUACACGUUUCUCUAGGUACAGGUCCCAGGAACAGCUAGGUGGGAAAGUCCCACCAUUGAGGGAGCCUAACCAUGUCCCCGAACAAAAAUGGGGCACUCUUAUUUUCCUUUUCUCUUGUGUUCCUACUCAGUGAGACCAAACUCUGGAAAGGACCCAGUGUACCAGUAUUUAUACCUUUAAUGAAGCAGAGAGAGAGGAGGAGAGAUGCUUAAACUCACAGAACAAUAAACUACAGACACAGCUGUCCUCUCUCUCUCAACCCCCCAGAGCGAUUUGUAUAUUACCCUCAAACUCUCCUUUGGGGAGAAGGUACCAUAGUCUUAGGUGUCUGUGCCCCAGGGCAGACCUUAGGACCCUAAAUCAAAUAGAAAAUGCAUCUCUGCUCCACUUCCAGCCAGGCUGGAGCAAGGUGUCUUUUCUCAGGAUCUUGGGAGGGACAGGAGGCCCCUCUGCAUGAUCUUGUUGAAGCGUUUAGCUGCCGUGCACCUGUCCCCCUUUAAUAUUGGGCAUUUUAAAGCGAUCUCUAGAAGUAUCUUCUACAUGUUUUGAAUGCAUUAUAAUAAUUUCAAAGAUAUCUGAGAAGAGCCUAUAUUUGCUAUUCUUCCUGUAUCCUGGAAUAUAUCCUGUAUCCUGGUUUAUAAUAAAGAAUAUUCGACCUUGGGAA